CCUGCAUCCUCCCAGCAUCUCCGCAGGGCUAGCCCAGAGGUCGGCGGUGGAAGGCCCACAGCUCCCCUGGCUCCAUGGACAGUGGUGGAACAGCGCUUCACCUCUCUGGGCCUUGUUUUCUCAAACUGAAACUGGAGAGGAUGACCCCAGCCUGGGGCCUCAAAAGGGCUCUGGGCCUUGCAUGGUGAGUCUGGGCACCCACACACCCAUCUUCCCAAAUGCCAAGCUUCACUCACUACAGUGUCCUUUCUUUUCCCUUCAGUGUUUCUCAAACUUAUCCAAACCACAUCCCCAGCCUGGGAGGUCUGCUUCAGAUGCUCCUCCAAGAAGCCUCCUCUGAACCCCAGACAGAAGGGAGAGCGUCACUCCUGUGACCUCACCCCAGCCCAUCCUCUAUACACUCGAGACUGUUGUAGCCGUACUAGGUGCUAUGAAGGGGAGGGGAUCUGACCUUGGCAGGAUGAUCAGGGAAGGCAUCCUGGAGGAGGCAUGAGAUCAGGGAUGGCUGGAUUAACAGAGCAAAGUGGAAAGGAAGGGAGGGUAUUCCAGGCAGCAGGAACAGAAUGUGCAACUGCUGUGAGGCAGCUGGAAGUAUGGUCAGCAUAAAGAUUGGAAAUUAUGCACGUUUUAUCUAUUCCAAGAUGCUUAAUGUUCACAUUUCACUUUUUUAUUUUUUUUUAAGAGACAGAGUCUCAAUCUGUGACUUAAACUGGAGUGCAGUUACAAGAUCACAACUCACUGUAACUUCAACCUCCUGGGCUUAAGCAAUCCUCCUACUUCAGCCUCCUGAGUACUGGGACUACAGGUGUGUGCCACCACACCUGGCUAAUUCUUUUGCUUGUAUUUUGUAGAGACAGAGUCUCGCUAUGUUGGCUGGGCUGGUCUCGAGCUCCUAGGCUCAAGUGAUCCUUCCGCCUUGGCCUCCUGAAGUGCUGAGAUGACAGGGUGUGAGCUGCCACACGCAGUCCCCAUUCUACAUCUCUGAAGUGAGUUUACCUGGUACAGUUGCUGUCUGGCUAACUGCAGUCCCAACAUCACUGUCAGGACCCACGCCUCAAAAGCGCCAGCAUCAAAUCCUUCAGAAGAGUGUCAGCAGCUUGGAAGAAAUCCUAGAGCAAGUGGAGCCCUUUUUAGCCCUGGGACCCAAAUGGUGGGAAUCCCCAGGGAAAGGAAACCAGGCUUGUCAGUGUGUCAGUGACACUCCCUUUUUUUUUUUUUUUUUUUUUUUUGAGACGGAGUCUCGCUGUCUCCCAGGCUGGAGUGCAGUGGCAUGAUCUCGGCUCACUGCAAGCUCCGCCUCCGGGGUUCACGCCAUUCUCCCGCCUCAGCCUCCCAAGUAGCUAGGCACCCGCCACCAUGCCCGGCUGAUUUUUUGUAUUUUUAGUAAAGACGGGGUUUCACUGUGUUAGCCAGGAUGGUCUCGAUCUCCUGACCUCGUGAUCCGCCCACCUCGGCCUCCCAAAGUGCCGGGAUUACAGGCGUGAGCCACCACGUGCAGCCUUUUUUUUUUUUUUUUUGAGACAGUCUUGCUCUGCCUGUCACCCAGGCUGGAGUGCAGUGGUGCAAUCAAUCUCGGGUCACUGCAACCUCCAUCUCCCAGGUUCAAGCGAUUCUCCUGCCUCAGUCACUCAAGUAGCUGGGAUUACAGGCACCUGCCACCACACCCAGAUACUUUUUUGUAUUUUUAAUACAGACGGGGGUUUUCACCAUAUUGCCCAGGCUGGUCUCAAACUCCUGACCUCAAGUGACUCAGCCUCCCAAUGUUCUGCGAUUACAGGCAUGAGCCACACCUGACCUAACCCUUCCUGAAUUUUAAUAAAUUAUUUUAUAAUAUUAAAAUAAUAAUAAUAUCAAGCAUCUGCCCACUCGGCAAAGCUUGUUCCUAUUUGCAUACCCACCCAGUCACAGGCAUCCCUCAGGAGCACCUGUGCUGUGCGUGCCCAGCAGCUCCCUCAGGGUUAGCCAAGUGUGGUGACAAGGGCUCACCUCCUGGUGACUGAGGGCCUCUGUCUUGCUCAACAUCUGAGUCACACCCUUCCUCGGGCCUCUGGGGCAGGGCUGUGUCUCUAUUGCUUUCACAUUCUGUCACUCCAGACAAGCCUGGCUGCACCUCCAUCUGGUUAUCUGACUCGACUCAGCUGAGUCAGGCAGAGAGAGUCUGCGGGGAGGAGGGGGAGGCCGGAGAGGGGCUUCGCUCAUCAGCUGACACUGAGAUCCGGGAGUUCCAAGGCUCAAUUAGGUGUUCAGGGGUGUUCUUUAAAGGGUGGAAGUGGUCCCUUUACUUUGGACUUUUCCCUUAAAAUUUUUUUUCAGAUACAUACACAUGAUCAAAAACGUCAAGAAUGAGACCGGGCGUGGUGGCUCAUGCCUGUAAUCCAAGCAUCUUGGGACGCCGAGGCAGGAGGAUCACUUGAGCCUGGAGACCAGCCUGGACAAUACAGCAAUACCCCAUCUGUGCAAAAAACUAAAAAAUUAACUGGGCAUGGUGGUGCAUGCCUAUGGUCCCAACUACUCGGGAGGCUGAGGUGGGAGGAUCCCUUGAGCCAGGAAGGUCAAGGCUGCAGUGAGUUGUGAUCACAUCACUGCACUCCAACUUGGGUGACAGAGCAAGAUCCUGUCUCAAGAAAAAAAAAACAAUGUCAGCCAGGCAUGGUGGCUCACGCCUGUAAUCCCAGCACUUUGGGAGGCCAAGGCGGGCAGAUCACCUGAGGCCAGGAGUUCGAGACCAGCCUGACCAACAUAGAGAAACCCUGUCUCUACUAAAAAUACAAAAA
rnacentral:lncRNA from 1 species